GGAAUUUAGAUUGUUUUGCCCAUUUUCUUAUGUGUGUUUCCAUUACUAUUCAUGCUGCUAUGAUAGAGACUAUUAAAACUACUCAUAAUAAAAGCUGACAAAGUUUUUGAGAAGGUGAUAAAAUUAAAUGUGAUUAUUUAUAAAGGCGACUUUGCAAUUUCAAUGUUUGCUUAAACCAAAUAAAUUAACACAAAGUUAAACUGGGAAAAUCUAAACUUUAAAGCAAUUACAAAUAUUUACGGUUCCCUCACACAAAUGAUAGUCACUCUGAAAAUAAGUUGUGUUCUAAACGUAUCAUCAAAAUAAACAAUUAACUAACCAAAAAAAACUAAAGUAAUUAAAACAAAAUAGAAAUUAAAAUAAUUAAAAUAACAUUAAUAAAAAGGGUUGUGUCAAAGAGAAAAGGUUUACAUUGUUGUUCUCUCAGCUUCAAAUCAAAACAAACACGCACAACAACACACUCUUCUGCAAACGGCGUGAUAUUUACAGUAUCUCUUUCUUGUUAUGAAGCUUUUUCUUUUCAAGAAUAAACGAAAGUGAGAGUUAUGAUGAGGGAGAUUGAGGUAGAGGAAAGUCUGUGUGAGUGUUCCUAAACAUGAGAAAGAUAAAGAAGAUUUUUUGUUCGUUUUCUUUUUUUCUUCCGAAAUUUGAGAGAGAAAAUUUGUAUUAAUGUUGGUGCUGCCUCCCCUGUAUCAUUG
rnacentral:lncRNA from 1 species